UGGGGAAUUUUGGACAAUGGGCGAAAGCCUGAUCCAGCAAUGCCGCGUGUGUGAAGAAGGCCUUCGGGUUGUAAAGCACUUUUGUCCGGAAAGAAAUCCUUGGCUCUAAUACAGUCGGGGGAUGACGGUACCGGAAGAAUAAGCACCGGCUAACUACGUGCCAGCAGCCGCGGUAAUACGUAGGGUGCAAGCGUUAAUCGGAAUUACUGGGCGUAAAGCGUGCGCAGGCGGUUUGCUAAGACCGAUGUGAAAUCCCCGGGCUCAACCUGGGAACUGCAUUGGUGACUGGCAGGCUAGAGUAUGGCAGAGGGGGGUAGAAUUCCACGUGUAGCAGUGAAAUGCGUAGAGAUGUGGAGGAAUACCGAUGGCGAAGGCAGCCCCCUGGGCCAAUACUGACGCUCAUGCACGAAAGCGUGGGGAGCAAACAGGAUUAGAUACCCUGGUAGUCCACGCCCUAAACGAUGUCAACUAGUUGUUGGGAUCAUUUCUUAGUAACGUAGCUAACGCGUGAAGUUGACCG
rnacentral:rRNA from 1 species